rnacentral:rRNA from 1 species
UACGUAGGGUGCAAGCGUUGUUCGGAAUUACUGGGCGUAAAGCGCGUGUAGGCUGCAAUGUAAGUCGGAUGUGAAAGCCCUUGGCUUAACCAAGGAAGUGCAUCUGAUACUGCAUCGCUUGAGUGUCGGAGGGGAUGGCGGAAUUCCCGGUGUAGAGGUGAAAGUCGUAGAUAUCGGGAGGAACACCUGUGGCGAAGGCGGCCAUCUGGACGAUAACUGACGCUGAGACGCGAAAGCGUGGGUAGCAAACAGG